UUCAUUUUCAACAUGAAUCGCAAACUUAAAUGCCCUAUUCCUCUUUGCCAAAAAUCACAUCACCACCUUUUGAUCAAGAUUUCGGCCACCACGACUAUCACAAACGAAAACCAAGACCAUAUUUGAACUCCACGAAACACUCUCUUUCGUUACCUAUGCUCGAAAUCGCCAACCGUUACAUUUUAAAAAAUGGGUUUCCACCAUUGUCGUGGCUAUUUUCUUGAAUUCCGGACAACACGUUCAUCGUCUUGAAAAACUGAUAUCGUUUUUAGAUUCCUCUCGUCGAAACCUUCAAGAAGCACUAAUCAUUUGUCUGUUUCGGGGAAGUUGAUGUCGGACUCUGUCGGUGCUCCAACACUUCGGUGAGGCCUUUUCUGAUAACUUGUUUCACUUUGUUUCGAAUAUGUUUAUUCUCUUAAUAUUUUUAUUAAUUAUGUGACAUUGAUUUUUAUAGUCCGCGUAUAUUAUUAGCUGUUUCAUUGACUCUGCAAAUUCGUCGAUGCUUUUGGACUCGUUCGUUGCGUGUUGUCGACAUCUCAUGGUUGCUGAAAAUCAUUAUGGUCCUUAUAUCUUAUGAAAGUGUCAAAUUGAG
rnacentral:lncRNA from 1 species